rnacentral:rRNA from 1 species
UACGUAGGGAGCUAGCGUUGUUCGGAAUUACUGGGCGUAAAGCGCGCGUAGGCGGAUUUGUAAGUUAGAGGUGAAAGCCCGGGGCUCAACCCCGGAACAGCCUUUAAGACUGCAUCGCUAGAAUCCGGGAGAGGUGAGUGGAAUUCCGAGUGUAGAGGUGAAAUUCGUAGAUAUUCGGAAGAACACCAGUGGCGAAGGCGGCUCACUGGACCGGUAUUGACGCUGAGGUGCGAAAGCGUGGGGAGCAAACAGG